rnacentral:lncRNA from 1 species
GUGUCUGGCUUAAGGCUUUCUUCAAGCUUUUCAUCAAAAUACAAUUACAACAAUCGCACAAGAUCACAAAAUCAAAUUGCACAAGAAAUCAAGAAAUCAACCAAUUUCACUAACCCUAGAACGAAUUCAACAAGUGGGUUUCACCAUUUUUCUUCUGGAAUUUCAAAUGGAGUAGAGGGCUUUUAAGUUGCAGCUAGCCAGGAGCUUUAAUUUGUUGGUCAGGGAAACAUUUGAGAGCACAUUUACAGCUAGAUGAAGGAGACGUAUGUGGUACAUGUGUUUUCCAAGGAUCAUGUGACUGGGCCUUGCUGUUAAAACACAGCGUCAAGGAAAUCUGCUUGCUGUUAAAACACAGUGUCAAGGAAAUCUGCUUGCUGUUAAAACACAAUGUCAAGAAUCCUCCAGGAAUUUCACAGCGUC